rnacentral:sRNA from 1 species
GCCUGGCGUGGUGGCGCGCGCCUGUAGUCCUAGCUACUCGGGAGGCUGAGGCAGAAGGAUCGCUUGAGCCCGGGAGGCGGAGGUUGCAGUGAGCCGAGAUUGCGCCACUGCACUCCAGCCUGGGCGACAGGGCGAGACUCCGUCUCAA